rnacentral:rRNA from 1 species
AUUGAACGCUGGCGGCAGGCCUAACACAUGCAAGUCGAGCGCGAAAGUUCUUCGGAAUGAGUAAAGCGGCGGACGGGUGAGUAAUACAUGGGAAUCUGCCUGGUAGUGGGGACAACGUUUCGAAAGGAACGCUAAUACCGCAUACGCCCUACGGGGGAAAGGGGGGGAUCGCAAGACCUCUCGCUAUCAGAUGAGCCCAU